UCUGCUUGCAGUAACAGAGCCAUUGGAAAAACACCUCCGACGUCAUGUUUAUCCUCUCGAAGAUCUCAUCUGUGCAGCAGGAAGUAGCUCAGGAGUUCAAUGGAUGAGCCAAUAAGAGGGAGCUAGGGGCCUUGGUUACCGUGGGAGACGGGAGACGAGAGAAGACAGGCCACAGCGUCGGCAUGAACACGACAGGACGAGACCUUCCACACUGAACAGACUGGACCUCCAACAUAAUACUCUCAACUCAGACGGAAACCUUGAGGUGA